rnacentral:misc_RNA from 1 species
UACAUAUUACAUACAAAAUUAUUAUCUUAAGAAAGUUUAAGGUGUAUUUACCCUUUAAUUUUUGCAAGUGCUAUUGGGGCAAGGUACCCUUGAAGAAGGGCAUUCUCUUCUUGUAUAACAAGUUAAUCCCUAUCUUACUCCCGUUAAGCUCCACUUAAGCUCCACACAAAUAUUACUUUUUUUGAUACUCACCUUAGGGCUACUUACUAAUUUAUUUUUUAAAAUAAAAUGAAUAGUACAAUUAAACAUUUAAUCAUUUACAAUAUGAGUUUUUAAUGGACCAAAACUAUACAAUGGCCAUGGAUCUAUCUUGUAACACCCCUAUGUUCGGUAAU